rnacentral:rRNA from 1 species
GUAAGGAAUAUUGGUCAAUGGGGGGAACCCUGAUCCAGCCAUGCCGCGUGUGUGAAGAAGGCCUUUUGGUUGUAAAGCACUUUAAGCGAGGAGGAGGCUACCGAGAUUAAUACUCUUGGAUAGUGGACGUUACUCGCAGAAUAAGCACCGGCUAACUCUGUGCCAGCAGCCGCGGUAAUACAGAGGGUGCAAGCGUUAAUCGGAUUUACUGGGCGUAAAGCGCGCGUAGGUGGCCAAUUAAGUCAAAUGUGAAAUCCCCGAGCUUAACUUGGGAAUUGCAUUCGAUACUGGUUGGCUAGAGGAUGGGAGAGGAUGGUAGAAUGCCAGGUGUAGCGGUGAAAUGCGUAGAGAUCUGGAGGAAUACCGAUGGCGAAGGCAGCCAUCUGGCCUAAUACUGACACUGAGGUGCGAAAGCAUGGGGAGCAAACAGGAUUAGAUACCCCGGUAGUCC